rnacentral:tRNA from 1 species
GAGGCUAUAGCUCAGUGAUAGAGUGCCUGCUUAGCAUGCACAAGGUCCUGGGCUCAAUCCCCAGUAUCUCCA